rnacentral:rRNA from 1 species
UACGAAGGGGGCUAGCGUUGCUCGGAAUCACUGGGCGUAAAGCGCACGUAGGCGGCUCGUUAAGUCAGGGGUGAAAUCCUGGAGCUCAACUCCAGAACUGCCUUUGAUACUGGGGAUCUCGAGUCCGGAAGAGGUGAGUGGAACUCCGAGUGUAGAGGUGAAAUUCGUAGAUAUUCGGAAGAACACCAGUGGCGAAGGCGGCUCACUGGUCCGGUACUGACGCUGAGGUGCGAAAGCGUGGGGAGCAAACAGG